rnacentral:rRNA from 1 species
GCAGUCGGGCGGCAGCGGGGGUGCUUGCACCUGCCGGCGAGCGGCGAACGGGUGAGUAAUGCAUCGGAACGUACCCAUGUGGUGGGGGAUAACUACUCGAAAGAGUGGCUAAUACCGCAUACGCCCUGAGGGGGAAAGCGGGGGAUUCUUCGGAACCUCGCGCCAUUGGAGCGGCCGAUGUCGGAUUAGCUAGUAGGUGAGGUAAAGGCUCACCUAGGCGACGAUCCGUAGCUGGUCUGAGAGGAUGAUCAGCCACACUGGGACUGAGACACGGCCCAGACUCCUACGGGAGGCAGCAGUGGGGAAUUUUGGACAAUGGGCGCAAGCCUGAUCCAGCCAUGCCGCGUGAGUGAAGAAGGCCUUCGGGUUGUAAAGCUCUUUCAGUCGGGAAGAAAAGGCGCGCUCUAACAUAGCGCGCUCAUGACGGUACCGACAGAAGAAGCACCGGCUAACUACGUGCCAGCAGCCGCGGUAAUACGUAGGGUGCGAGCGUUAAUCGGAAUUACUGGGCGUAAAGCGUGCGCAGGCGGUUGUGUAAGACAGGUGUGAAAUCCCCGGGCUUAACCUGGGAACUGCGCUUGUGACUGCACGGCUAGAGUACGGCAG